rnacentral:rRNA from 1 species
UACGUAGGGUGCAAGCGUUGUCCGGAAUUAUUGGGCGUAAAGAGCUCGUAGGCGGUUUGUUGCGUCGGCUGUGAAAUCCCGAGGCUCAACCUCGGGUCUGCAGUCGAUACGAGCAAACUAGAGUGUUGCAGGGGAGACUGGAAUUCCUGGUGUAGCGGUGAAAUGCGCAGAUAUCAGGAGGAACACCGGUGGCGAAGGCGGGUCUCUGGGCCUUACCUGACGCUGAGGAGCGAAAGCGUGGGGAGCGAACAGG